rnacentral:rRNA from 1 species
AUUGAACGCUGGCGGCAGGCCUAACACAUGCAAGUCGAGCGGACGAAGGGAGCUUGCUCCUCUAUUCAGCGGCGGACGGGUGAGUAAUGCCUAGGAAUCUGCCCUGCAGUGAGGGAUAACGUCCGGAAACGGGCGCUAAUACCGCAUACGUCCUGAGGGAGAAAGUGGGGGAUCUUCGGACAUCACGCUUUCAGAUGAGCCUAGGUCGGAUUAGCUAGUUGGUGGGGUAAAGGCCUACCAAGGCGACGGUCCGUAACUGGUCUGAGUAGAUGAUCAGUCACGCCGGAAAUGAGGAACGGUCCAAACGCCUACGGGAGGCAGCAAUGAGGAAUAUUGGAGGAAGGGCGGAAGCCUGUUCCAGGCAUGGCGCGUGUGUGAAGAAGGUCUUCGGAUUGUAAAACACUUUUAGUUGGGAGGAAGGGCAGUAGGAUAAUACCAUGCUGUUUUGACGUUAACAGCAGAAGAAGCACCGGCUAAAUUCGUG